GACGAACGCUGGCGGCGUGCUUAACACAUGCAAGUCGAACGGGAUUUAGUAAACAGAAGCCUCGGUGGAAGAUUACUAAUGGGAGUGGCGAACGGGUGAGUAACGCGUGAGCAACCUGCCUAUGACAGUGGGAUAGCCUCGGGAAACCGGGAUUAAUACCGCAUAAAAUCGUAGAAACACAUGUUUUAACGGUCAAAGAUUUAUCGGUCAUAGAUGGGCUCGCGUCUGAUUAGCUAGUUGGUGAGGUAACAGCCCACCAAGGCGACGAUCAGUAGCCGGUCUGAGAGGAUGAACGGCCACACUGGAACUGAGACACGGUCCAAACUCCUACGGGAGGCAGCAGUGGGGAAUAUUGCACAAUGGGGGAAAGCCUGAUGCAGCGACGCCGCGUGAACGAAGAAGGUAUUCGUAUCGUAAAGUUCUGUUCUAUGGGAAGAUAAUGACAGUACCAGAGAAGAAAGCUCCGGCUAAAUACGUG
rnacentral:rRNA from 1 species